CCUACGGGCGGCUGCAGUGGGGAAUAUUGGACAAUGGGGGCAACCCUGAUCCAGCCAUGCCGCGUGUGUGAAGAAGGCCCUCGGGUUGUAAAGCACUUUCAGUGAGGAAGAACGCCUGGUGGUUAAUACCCAUCAGGAAAGACAUCACUCACAGAAGAAGCACCGGCUAACUCCGUGCCAGCAGCCGCGGUAAUACGGAGGGUGCGAGCGUUAAUCGGAAUUACUGGGCGUAAAGCGCGCGUAGGUGGCUUGAUAAGCCGGUUGUGAAAGCCCCGGGCUCAACCUGGGAACGGCAUCCGGAACUGUCAAGCUAGUGUGCAGGAGAGGAAGGUAGAAUUCCCGGUGUAGCGGUGAAAUGCGUAGAGAUCGGGAGGAAUACCAGUGGCGAAGGCGGCCUUCUGGACUGACACUGACACUGAGGUGCGAAAGCGUGGGUAGCAAACAGGAUUAGAUACCCGAGUAGUC
rnacentral:rRNA from 1 species